rnacentral:rRNA from 1 species
GAAGGUCUUCGGAUCGUAAAGCUCUGUCAGCAGGGAAGAAACGUCUUGUGGCUAAUAUCCAUGAGAUUUGACGGUACCUGCAAAGGAAGCACCGGCUAACUCCGUGCCAGCAGCCGCGGUAAUACGGAGGGUGCGAGCGUUGUUCGGAUUUACUGGGCGUAAAGGGCGCGUAGGCGGCCUGUUAAGUCAUAUGUGAAAGCCCACGGCUCAACCGUGGAAGUGCAUGUGAAACUGGCAGGCUUGAGUACUGGAGGGGAGUGUGGAAUUCCCGGUGUAGAGGUGAAAUUCGUAGAUAUCGGGAGGAAUACCGGUGGCGAAGGCGACACUCUGGACAGAUACUGACGCUGAGGCGCGAAACGUGGGGAGCAACAGGAUUAGAUACCCUGGUAGUCCACACUGUAAACGAUGUGCACUAG